UGACAUAUGUUCUAUCUUUUCUCUGGUUGAUAACAUGUUUUUGCUUUGUUCCUCCAACAAUUCAUUUUCCAGCUCCUUUAUUCGACGUUGUAAUUCUUCGAUCUGAUCCAUUGUUAGAAUUAAAUUCGACUCUAUAUCGCACACAGAAUAUGUUUCUCAAACACGAUGAUGUCACUGUACACGCGUUUGCUCCAGACAAAUCAUAGAUGGCAAAAGAAAGUACGCUUACGUAUGUAUACGUGUCACAGUAGGUGUACACCCGAUCUCCACAAAAUUUCCUGAAUCGUUAAUACAAACAAACAAGUGCAUAAAGUAAUAUUUUCGAAUUCCCGUCAGCAUUUAUCGUUUAUUCUCAUAGCAUUCGAGAAUCCCAUGACUGAGAACAUAACCUGUCACUCUUCAGAGUGACAUACGUCAAACGAUUCCAAAACACGAAGCAUCGACAAGUUCUUCCCUUAAAUAUUCUUUCAAUAUCUAAUACAUUUCCAUUACUCGUUAACACGUGACAUUAUCCCACGUCUUCAAACCAUAGAUUAAUACAGAUUACGUUCAUGUACUCAAAUCCAACUUGUCAAAGCUAUCGAAACCGUCAAUCGAUCCCAGCAACCAAUAAGGAUUAAUUCAUUCCAAAAGUUCGUCCCCUUUGAUAUAAACGAAAUUGUAUUUGCCUUCUCUUUAAUCAAUCCUAUACAGCAUCGUUAUUUUCGUCUCGUUACAAGGCGUCGUUCUGUGUCGUAAACCAUACACGUUACAUUGUUACAUCGUACAUGUGCCUGAGCCUCGCGUCGUGUCCACGUAGAGCGACUUAUCAUGGUUCACCAUUCGAUCAUCGUAUCGCUGAUUCCCGGGUAAACAUCAUGAAACGAGCCCGCACGAUAACACGGUAUUAGUAACUAUCCUAUUAAUUCAUCGUUUUGCUCGCCGUUGAUUAGGUUUCAAAUCAAACCAGCUCAUACACUUUGGCCAAUUUUAUUGUCAUACCUCAGCCGUGUCAAAAUACUUUAUUUUACAAAUAAUCCCGCAUUCGUUCGAAAGAAAACAACCCUCCCGUUUUCCCCUCCCCGAAGGGAGAAUCGGGAACAGAAAAUGUGACGCAAUUGACCAUUCAAAGUGUACAUGCUUCCGGUACGUUGAAAUCCAGUGCUCGUUUCCACGGGACAGGACGACGGAACAGAAAGAAAAGGAAAUACACGGUCCGACGACAGAAUGCUCUGCCCAUUGAAAAUCACGACGAGACGAAACGUCAAAGUUUCAAAUUCACAAUUUCGCUCGCAGGUUUCGAUUAGAGAGAGCUCGAUCCGGAUUAUCGUGAAAUCGAACGCGUGCACGGCGAUCAGGGAGGAGGGCGGUGGAACAUGGACGAACGAGCCACGUUCGCGUCGUUUUUGCCCGCUAGAAAUGAAAAACGAAAGCCGUCCGGCUGGCAACGACGCGCAGGGAUAAUCAUUUGUAUACGUCUAUAGCGCGCGUCCGUUCUGCCGCGCGUGUGGCCCCCGUAGCAGCCGACUGUUUUCCCGCCAAAACAACUUCAACUUUCCGUAUGUUUAUUAUAUAUGUAUAUAUAUAUAAAUAUAUAUAUAUAUUUCUUUUUAAUGCGAUAUUGAAAAAUAAAAUAUACACACGCGCGCACAUAUAUGUAUAUAUAUACAUGUAUAUAUAGAUAUAGAUAUAGAUAUAUAUAUAUAUAUACACGUGAGCCUUAAAAUAACGGUUAACAAGGCAAAA